GAUUAACGCUGGCGGCGUGCAUGAGACAUGCAAGUCGAACGGGUGACUCGGGCUUGCUCGAGUCGCUAGUGGCGAACGGCUGAGUAACACGUAGGUGACCUGCCCCGAAGUGGGGAAUAACUGCCCGAAAGGGUGGCUAAUACCGCAUGUGGUCGCACGUUCGGUCGUGCGAGUAAAGCCGCAAGGCGCUUCGGGAGGGGCCUGCGUCCGAUUAGCUCGUUGGUGGGGUAAUGGCUCACCAAGGCGACGAUCGGUAGGUGGUCUGAGAGGACGAUCACCCAGACUGGGACUGAGACACGGCCCAGACUCCUACGGGAGGCAGCAGUCGGGAAUUUUGCUCAAUGGGCGAAAGCCUGAAGCAGCAACGCCGCGUGAGGGAUGACGGCCUUCGGGUUGUAAACCUCUUUUCUCAGGGACGAUGAUGACGGUACCUGAGGAAUAAGCCACGGCAAACUACGUGCCAGCCGCCGCGGUAAGAC
rnacentral:rRNA from 1 species